AUUAAGAAUGUGUUGUUUGGGUGUUUAUAUAUGUACAGUUACUCAGGUGAAUAUUGUUUUUGAUGAUACUCUGAGUGUAUAUGCAGUUAGCAAAGCAUUAGACUAGUUGCGGGUUCGAUUCUCACCAUGGUCAGGCUAACUUUUCAGCCUGCCCGGUGUGGAUAUACACUCAGAGUAACAUACAAAACAUCAAACUAUAGUCAAUUUAUACAAGUUCUUUUUUCAGCCACUGUUAUACAACUAGGUGUAGUUCUGGUUGCACAAAUUUAAGUUCUCCUGAAGACCUGAUGCAGUAAUUUUUCAACUUUUUCCACAUGACAAGCAAUAUUAUCUGACCAACCGUUUGUUCAAAGUCCAUAGAUUUCUUUAUAAUGCACAUUAAACACUGUUCCAAACACAUCAUGCAAAUGCCACUGGAGAUCCAUCAUAUAUACAUCCUUUUUUCAGCUAGUAAUCUGUAAAAGGAAAAGUUUACUUAUGUAUUGAGAAUGUAAUCAUCACUCUACAGUAAAACUAAGUAUUAUAUGUAGUGUAUACAGAAAUAUAAAUGAAUUUAUUAGCGAUUUUCAGCAGCCUUUCGCGCUUGUAUUCGACUUUUCUGCUUUGCUUGGGGGACAACCUUAAUUGAAAUAGCUAUUAUAUAUAUACAAAAUUGCA
rnacentral:lncRNA from 1 species